GGCAACCACGACCAGGAGUUUGUAGCCUGUCUGGCUCACUGUUUCAUCAACCUGCACGUUGGGAGUAGUGUGGAGGGUUUUGGUUUGGAGGCAGAGGCUCGUAUGACAACCUGGCACGUCAUGAUGCCCGCUGAGAAUGGACCUGAUAACAGACACAGCCAGGAAGUUAGCGAAGGUCGCCAGCUACUGCUGAAGGCAGUAAACCAUGUGUUGC